AUGGCCAGUGUGAACGGAGAGAUGAAGUUUGACCCAGGAAGCACUGCUCAAGCAGCAGUGAAGAAAGCCUCUGUGAGGCUUCUUAGGAGACUGAGCCCGGCUGAGGAAAGGAUCUCUGAUUUGUCAAGAUAAAUUUCAAAACAAAACAAAAAAGCAAAACUGGAGCAGAAUGUCCAAGAGUUACGGUAGCAAGCAUGGUUCAAGAACCUGUGCUGAACCAUGGCUGAAAAGAACCAUGAUGCUCAGCAUGAAUGAAGAAAGGCAGAAAGGAAGAGGAGGAGGGAGGAGGAAGGAAGGGAUUGAUGAAUGAGACAGAGGGAGGAAGGGAAGGAGAGAACGAAGAAAGAAGAGAGAGAAACUAGAACAAAAGAUUUACGGAUUGAGGGAAAAGAAGCACUGCCUUGAUUCCACCGCCGCCUCCCACAAGUGUGAAGGGGAAACGAGCAUCUUCGAAUAAAGAGCCGUGGAUCUGCUGUGUGGUUCCCCAGCGCCAGGGCAGCACUGCCUGGGAACAGUGAGGAUGCUGGGAUGCUCCAACGCCUCCCUCAGCCCUGAAGCAGGCUGAUCCAGACUUUGACCUUGCUGCCACUGAGAAGGAAAUUACCUAAGGUGGAGCCUUCUGACCUAGAUGGCUCUUUUGUUCUGUCACCUGCCACUGCUCUCUCCAAGACACUGCUGCCUGCGGAGAAGCCCCUGAGACAUUCCUGAGGAACAUCCUAUUCUGCACAUCGCCUACAGGCUGGCUCCAGACACCAAGAAUGGACUGGCGGGGGAUGGGCCUUCCCCUUUUAUAAGUAGACUCUGUUAGUAAAAUGGAGGGGCUUGAGC
rnacentral:lncRNA from 1 species